rfam:Spinacia oleracea cultivar SynViroflay scaffold7139.con0009.1, whole genome shotgun sequence.
GAUAUAUUUCUAAUCCCUUGACAUUGUUCUUGUCCCAAAAAUGAUAGCUGCAGGAUUUAAUGCUUGUGCACCAUUCAUUGUGGUUUCCAAGUUUGGCUUUUCUGUGACAUUU